rnacentral:rRNA from 1 species
GACGAACGCUGGCGGCGUGCUUAACACAUGCAAGUCGAACGAUGAAGAAGAGAAACGCGAACUUCGGUUCAAAUUUCACUUCUGAUUAGUGGCAGACGGGUGAGUAACGCGUGAGCAACCUACCUCGUACAAAGGGAUAGCCUCGGGAAACCGUGAUUAAUACCAUAUUACACAUUCAUAAGUCAUCUUAAGAAUGUUAAAGCUACGGCGGUAAGAGAUGGGCUCUCGUCCCAUUAGCUAGUUGGUGAGGUAACGGCCCACCAAGGCGACGAUGGGUAACCGGGCUGAGAGGGUGAACGGUCACCUUGGAAGUGAGACAAGGUCCGAACUCCUACGGGAGGCAGCAGUUGGGACUAUUGAACAAUGGAGGGAACACUGAUGCAGCGAGGCCGCGUGAGCGAUGAAGGAAUUCGUUUCGUAAAGCUCUGUUCUAUGGGAAGAAAAGGACGGUACCAUAGGAGAAAGCCACGGCUAAAUACGUG